rnacentral:misc_RNA from 3 species
AACGCACAUUGCGCCCCCUGGUAUUCCGGGGGGCAUGCCUGUUCGAGCGUCAUUUCACCACUCAAGCCUCGCUUGGUAUUGGGCGACGCGGUCCGCCGCGCGCCUCAAAUCGACCGGCUGGGUCUUUCGUCCCCUCAGCGUUGUGGAAACUAUUCGCUAAAGGGUGCCGCGGGAGGCCACGCCGUAAAACAACCCCAUUUCUAAGGUUGACCUCGGAUCAGGUAGGGAUACCCGCUGAACUUAA